rfam:Onchocerca ochengi, WGS project CAWC01000000 data, contig: 00495_885
UACCUUUCAAAAAAUCUAUAGAAGAUAUUUCAAACUACAAUAAAUCGGAAGAAAUCUUUUGCUUAAAAUAUGAUUUUGGAAAAUUUUGGGGUUAGUUGCUCCGAUGCAGAAUCAUCGCAUAGUUCUAUUGUGAAAACUACUUUUUUAUGAAGCUUAAGGCAAAUUUUCAAACAAUGAAUAUUAUUGUUGAUGAUUAGUUCCUAAUGAUCUCGGUUCUAUUUUGUUGGUUUUCUGAUCUGAUAUGAUGGUUAAGAGACGGACAGAGGCAUUCGUAUCGCUGCGUGACAAGUGAAAUUCUUGGUCCGUAGCGAGACGUCCGACUGCGAAAGCAUUUGCCAAGAAUGUCUUCAUUAAUCAAGAAUGAAACUCAAAAGUUCGAAGGCGAUCAGAUGCCGCACUAGUUCUAACCGUAGGCGAUAUCAACUAGCGUUCUGUUGGCGAUAAAUACGCCUUGGCGGACAACUUCCCAGAAGCGAAAGUUUUUCGGUUUCGAGGAAAGUAUGUUACAAAGCCAAAAUUUAAAGAAAUUGAUGGAAGGACACCACCAGGACUGGAGC